rnacentral:misc_RNA from 1 species
UUUUUUUUUUUUAAAUUUCUUGCUUUUUUCUUACUUGGGGACACCUGGUGACUUCUCACCUAGCCUCGCCUGGGCGCCUAGGUGGCAUCUAGUUGAAGGCGCCUUGCCUGGAGGCUUCCUAGGCAAGGUGCCUAGAUUUCGUCUCACCCAAGCGCCUAGGCGAGUGCCGCCUCUUGACAAGACUGCAUUGUAAAUAUUACUAUCUUUCUAUAAAGUAACUAUAACUUUAUCAGGUAGUUUGCAGUAGAAUAUAUUGUUAUUUUCUUUUAGCGUGAGGCUGUUGGUUUUGCAUUGGUAGUGAUUUAUGUUUUUUUGGCUUCUAGGUUUCUUUCCGAGUACAGAUUGGAUAUCUCAAAACUGGAACCAUUG